rnacentral:rRNA from 1 species
GACGAACCGUGCGAACGUUAUUCGGAAUCACUGGGCUUAAAGCGCGUGUAGGCGGGACGGCACGUCGGCCGCUGAAAUCCCCCGGCUCAACCGGGGAAGUGGCGCCGAUACGACCGCCCUGGAGGGACGUAGGGGGGGCUGGAACUUCCGGUGGAGCGGUGAAAUGCGUAGAGAUCGGGCGGAACACCAGCGGCGAAGGCGGCAUCCUGGCCCGUACCUGACGCUGAGGCGCGAGAGCGUGGGGAGCAAACCGG